AUGCUAGUCAGCCGGGUAUCCCUUGCAGCGGCGCUGGUGCUGCUGAUCUCGGUGCCGCCGGUCGCCGGAGAUCUGCUGACACCGAUUGGGCUGCCGAACUGCAACACCACCUGCGGCAACGUGAGUGUGCCGUACCCGUUCGGCAUGGGCCCGCGUCGAUGCUUCCACUCGCCCGAGUUCAAGCUCACGUGCGACCGUGGAAGCAAGCUCCCGCGGCUGCUCCUCGGCAACGACAGCGGCGGCGGUGCAUUGGAGGUCGUCAACAUCUGGGUAGAGAACAGUACGAUGCGCGUCAUCAGCCACGGAGUGCAUGCCAUGAAUAUGAGCGGCUCCGGCGGCCAGUGGAGCUGGAGUCCCGGUGCCGGUCUGCCAUACACCCUCUUGGGGUGGGGCAUAAACGAGUUCAUCCUCUUGGGGUGCAAUCUCCAGGCGAAGCUGCUGAGCAAUGGGAGCGGCGGCAGUAUCAUCAGCGGCUGCGCCUCCUUCUGCUCCACGGACACGGAAAGGAUGGACUGGUAUGAUGCUUAUAACAAGCCCUGCUCCAACAACGGCUGCUGCCUGUCGUCCAUCCCCGCUAUGGGCGACGCAUUCUACGGAGUGGAGCUUAAACGGCUGGACAGGGGCCUUCCAGAGAAGGGCAUGCAAGCCGACCAAGUGCCAGUGAGCGUGCUCAUCGCUGAGACGGGCUGGUUUGACUCGGAAUUGUCCACACAUCUGAUGGACCCAAUGCGUGGCCAGUGGCACAAGACCAGGCUGCCGGUCCCCAUGAUUCUCCGUUGGGUGGUGCCGCAGGGCACAUCCUAUGAUAUGAAAUACCCUGGUGAGGCAGCCUGGAGGAUCUGCAAGAGCACCAACAGCGAGCCCAGAGCCGCGGCAUAUUUUCCAGUAAGAGGCAAUUCGUGUGAGUGCAAGGAGGGCUACCAGGGCAACCCUUACCUCACCGGCGGAUGCCAAGAUAUCAAAGAGUGUGAUCAUAAAGAAGAACAUGGAUGUUUCGAAGACUGCGAGGAACUACCCGGGACUUUCCGGUGCCGUUGCCCCGAAGGGUUCCAUGGCAACUACACCAUAUCCGGCGGCUGCUUUAAGUCUAUAUAAACACAGGUCGCUUGGGUUUAAUAAUUGGUCUUGCAAUCGCUAGUGGCCCAUGCAUUAUACUUUUGGUACUUGGUACAAUCCUCAUAAUCCGUGAACUUGAGCAACGCAAGGGGAAGUCGUUGAGACACAAGUUCUUUAGUCAAAACCGUGGACAACUAUUGAAGCAGUUAGUUUCUCAUAGGGCAGACAUCGCCGAGAGGAUGAUAAUUCCUUUAGCGGAGCUACAAAAGGCCACCAACAAUUUUGAUCAAGCUCGUAGGCUCGGUGAAGGAGGGCAUGGCACUGUUUACAAGGGGAUUUUGUCUCACUUGCAUGUCGUGGCCAUCAAGAAGUCAAAUAUCGUGGUCAAGAGAGAAAUCGAUGAGUUUAUAAAUGAGGUUGCCAUACUAUCACAAAUCAACCAUAGGAAUAUUAUAAAGCUCCAUGGUUGUUGCCUCGAGACAGAAGUCCCUUUACUUGCCUAUGAGUUUAUCUCCAAUGGAACCCUCAGCGACCAUCUUCACACAGGAGCACCAGGAUCACUAUCUUGGGAAGAUAGGUUAAGGAUCACAAGUGAAAUAGGAAAAGCUCUUGCUUACCUUCAUUCUUCUGUAACUGUGCCUAUUAUACAUAGAGAUAUCAAGCCUUCCAACAUACUUCUUGAUGAUGCCUUGAUAGCAAAAGUGUCUGAUUUUGGAGCUUCGAGGUACAUUCCCAUGGAUCAAACAGGGUUAACAACAAUAACUGCAGUGCAAGGAACUAUAGGGUACUUAGACCCUAUGUACUAUUACACGGGACGCCUAACGGAAAGUAGUGAUGUCUAUAGCUUUGGAGUCCUUCUUGUUGAGUUGCUUACUAGGAAGAAUCCAUCUUCCUAUAGAUCAUCUGAAGGUGAUGGCCUUGUCAUGCAGUUUGUUGAACUACUUGCCGAAGGCAAUCUGGCCAAGAUACUAGAUCCACAAGUUUUAGUGGAGGCAGGUAACGAAGUGGAAGAAGUAGCUACUCUUGCUGUGUCAUGCAUGAAACUGAGAGCAGAGGAGCGGCCAACCAUGAGGCAAGUAAAGAUGGCACUGGAAGCUCUCCAAGCACCCAAGGAGCGUGACAUGGGUGAUCUGCCAAUAGAAAAAGAUGACAGGAAAUACGUGGCAGUGGGUUAUGCAUCUACCAUCAGAGGAACAAACCUGCAGGAAGCGAGCAGGCGUCAUAGCCUAGAAGAAGAGUUUAUUUUGUCUGCGAGGUACCCUCGGUAG
rnacentral:rRNA from 1 species